ACAUCGGCCCUUUUCAGGGCCACCAAUUUUUAAAACAGGAACAGG
rfam:Trichomalopsis sarcophagae strain Alberta scaffold895, whole genome shotgun sequence.